rnacentral:rRNA from 1 species
AGAGUUUGAUCCUGGCUCAGGACGAACGCUGGCGGCGUGCUUAACACAUGCAAGUCACGGGGGUCCGGGGGCAACUCCGGAUAACCGGCGAACGGGUGCGUAACACGUGAACAACCUGCCCUCGUGUGGGGGAUAGCCGGGCUAACGCCCGGGUAAUACCGCAUACGUUCUCGUGGGGGAGUCCCUGCGGGAGGAAAGCUCAGGCGCACGGGGAGGGGUUCGCGGCCUAUCAGCUUGUUGGCGGGGUCACGGCCUACCGAGGCGACGAUCCGUAGCUGGUCUGAGAGGAUGAUCAGCCACACUGGGACUGAGACACGGCCCAGACUCCUACGGGAGGCAGCAGUAAGGGAUCUUCCACAAUGGGCGCAAGCCUGAUGGAGCGACGCCGCGUGGACGAAGAAGCCUUUCGGGGUGUAAAGUCCUUUUCUCGGGGAUGAGAUGGACAGUACCCGAGGAAUAAGCCUCGGCUAACUACGUGCCAGCCGCCGCGGUAAUAC